rnacentral:rRNA from 1 species
AGGACGAACGCUGGCGGCGUGCUUAACACAUGCAAGUCGAACGGAAAGGCCCGCUUGCGGGUACUCGAGUGGCGAACGGGUGAGUAACACGUGGGCAACCUGCCCUCAGCUUCGGGACAACUCCUGGAAACGGGUGCUAAUACCGGAUAUUGACUCAUGAUCGCAUGGUUGUGGGUUGAAAGUUUUUUCGGCUGGGGAUGGGCCCGCGGCCUAUCAGCUUGUUGGUGGGGUGAUGGCCUACCAAGGCGACGACGGGUA